GACUCUCGGCAACGGAUAUCUCGGCUCUCGCAUCGAUGAAGAACGUAGCGAAAUGCGAUACUUGGUGUGAAUUGCAGAAUCCCGUGAACCAUCGAGUCUUUGAACGCAAGUUGCGCCCCAAGCCUUCUGGCCGAGGGCACGUCUGCCUGGGUGUCA
rnacentral:rRNA from 13 species